ACCUGGAGAUAGCUGGUUCUCUCCGAAAUAGCUUUAGGGCUAGCCUCAAGUGAUGAUUAUUGGAGGUAGAGCACUGUUUGGACGAGGGGCCCCUCUCGGGUUACCGAAUUCAGACAAACUCCGAAUGCCAAUUAAUUUAACUUGGGAGUCAGAACAUGGGUGAUAAGGUCCGUGUUCGAAAGGGAAACAGCCCAGACCACCAGCUAAGGUCCCAAAAUAUAUGUUAAGUGGAAAAGGAUGUGGCGUUGCCCAGACAACUAGGAUGUUGGCUUAGAAGCAGCCAUCAUUUAAAGAGUGCGUAAUAGCUCACUAGUCGAGUGACACUGCGCCGAAAAUGUACCGGGGCUAAACAUAUUACCGAAGCUGUGGAUUGUCCUUUGGACAAUGGUAGGAGAGCGUUCUAAGGGCGUUGAAGCAUGAUCGUAAGGACAUGUGGAGCGCUUAGAAGUGAGAAUGCCGGUGUGAGUAGCGAAAGACGGGUGAGAAUCCCGUCCACCGAUUGACUAAGGUUUCCAGAGGAAGGCUCGUCCGCUCUGGGUUAGUCGGGUCCUAAGCUGAGGCCGACAGGCGUAGGCGAUGGAUAACAGGUUGAUAUUCCUGUACCACCUAUAAUCGUUUUAAUCGAUGGGGGGACGCAGUAGGAUAGGCGAAGCGUGCGAUUGGAUUGCACGUCUAAGCAGUAAGGCUGAGUAUUAGGCAAAUCCGGUACUCGUUAAGGCUGA
rnacentral:rRNA from 1 species